rnacentral:rRNA from 1 species
GGAUUCCCAGAGUAGCGGCGAGCGAAACGGGAACAGCCCAGCGCUGAAUCCCGCCGUUCCGUCGGACGGCCGGGAAAUGUAGCGUUCGGGAGGAGAUCUUAACACAUUCGCGCGGUCAACGUAACGGCGGCCAGUCCAAGUCCAUCUUGAAGGGGGCUCCGCUUAUCCGUAGAGGGUGCCAGGCCCGUAGCGACGGUCGCCGGCCGCGACGGUCUCUCUCCUAAGAGUCGGGUUGCUUGAGAGUGCAGCCCUAAGCGGGUGGUAAACUCCAUCUAAGGCUAAAUACGACCACGAGACCGAUAGCGAACA